CAGACUACCGUCUCUGGGUGUGGUUUUUGAUAUCUGUCCACAGAAAGAACAAGACCUUUUUGACAUCACGGACUUCGUGGAUUCCGAUCUCCAGUUAUCCACCACCACGCUUGAAACAAAAUGGUUUGGGUUUGACGAUGGCCGGUCUGGGGUCAAGUACAGCGUCUGUAUUGGAACAACUCCUGGAAUGCAAAACGUCCGCGCCUAUGCAGAUGUUGAAGAAUCCAUGUCACACAAGUUUAACAACUUGAUACUUAAUGUAAACACUGUUUACUAUGUGACAGUAAAGGCAUGGACACCUGCUGGAGAAGUCAGCCAGUCAUCGGACGGGGUCAGGAUCAUCAGAUACAAUGAAGAUGUAGGUGGCCGUGUCACAGUGAGAGAUGGAGAGAGAUGUUCAAAUGGUAGGAU